GGAUAGAGGCCUACCAUGGUGGUAACGGGUAACGGGGUGUUAGGGCACGACACCGGAGAGGGAGCCUGAGAAACGGCUACCACAUCCAAGGAUGGCAGCAGGCGCGCAAAUUACCCAAUCCCGACACGGGGAGGUAGUGACAAUAAAUAACAAUACGGGGUUCUUUAGGAUCUCGUAAUUGGAAUGAGUACAAUUUAAAUCUCUUAACGAGGAACAAUUGGAGGGCAAGUCUGGUGCCAGCAGCCGCGGUAAUUCCAGCUCCAAUAGCGUAUAUUAAAGUUGUUGCAGUUAAAAAGCUCGUAGUUGAAUUUCGGGGUUAGUAGGUUGGUCAUGCCUCUGGUAUGUACUGGUCUCACUGAUUCCUCCUUCCUUAUGAACCGUAAUGCCAUUAAUUUGGUGUUGCGGGGAAUUUGGACUGUUACUUUGAAAAAAUUAGAGUGUUUAAAGCAAGCUAACGCUUGAAUACAUUAGCAUGGAAUAAUGAAAUAGGACGUUCGAUCUUAUUUUGUUGGUUUCUAGGAUUGACGUAAUGAUUAAUAGGGAUAGUUGGGGGCAUUAGUAUUCAAUUGUCAGAGGUGAAAUUCUUGGAUUUAUUGAAGACUAACUACUGCGAAAGCAUUUGCCAAGGAUGUUUUCAUUAAUCAAGAACGAAAGUUAGGGGAUCGAAGACGAUCAGAUACCGUCGUAGUCUUAACCAUAAACUAUGCCGACUAGGGAUCGGAUGAU
rnacentral:rRNA from 1 species